AUACAGAGGGUGCAAGCGUUAAUCGGAAUUACUGGGCGUAAAGCGCGCGUAGGCGGUUUGUUAAGUCGGAUGUGAAAUCCCCGGGCUCAACCUGGGAACUGCAUUCGAAACUGGCGAGCUAGAGUAUGGUAGAGGAUAGUGGAAUUCCGGGUGUAGCGGUGAAAUGCGUAGAUAUCCGGAGGAACAUCAGUGGCGAAGGCGGCUAUCUGGACCAAUACUGACGCUGAGGUGCGAAAGCGUGGGGAGCAAACAGGAUUAGAUACCCUAGUAGUCC
rnacentral:rRNA from 1 species